GUAAGGAAUAUUGCACAAUGGGGGAAACCCUGAUGCAGCAACGCCGCGUGGGCGACGAAGGUCUUCGGAUCGUAAAGCCCUUUUCUACGGGAAGAGACAGGACGGUACCGUAGGAAUAAGUCUCGGCUAACUACGUGCCAGCAGCCGCGGUAAAACGUAGGAGGCUAGCGUUAUCCGGAUUUACUGGGCGUAAAGCGCGUGCAGGCGGUCAGUUAAGUCAGGCGUGAAAUCUCUCGGCUCAACCGGGAGGGGUCGUUUGAGACUGGCUGACUUGAGUGCAGGAGAGGGAAGCAGAAUUCCCGGUGUAGCGGUAAUAUGCGCAGAUAUCGGGAGGAAUACCAGUGGCGAAGGCGGCUUCCUGGCCUGUAACUGACGCUAAGACGCGAAAGCUAGGGGAGCGAACGGGAUUAGAUACCCCGGUAGUCC
rnacentral:rRNA from 1 species